GGGAGAAGGUGAAGGCUUGGGCGAGGGGCUGCGGUCAUCAUCAUCGUCGUUGCCAUCAUCAUCGUCGUCGUCGUCAUCAUUGUCAGGUGAAGGGCUAGGCCGGGGCGAGGGGCUGGGCUUGGGGGACGGCGAGGGUUUGGGCGAGGGGCUGGGCUGGGGAGAAGGUGAAGGCUUGGGCGAGGGGCUGCGGUCAUCAUCAUCGUCGUUGCCAUCAUCAUCGUCGUCGUCGUCAUCAUUGUCAGGUGAAGGGCUAGGCCGGGGCGAGGGGCUGGGCUUGGGGGACGGCGAGGGUUUGGGCGAGGGGCUGGGCUGGGGAGAAGGUGAAGGCUUGGGCGAGGGGCUGCGGUCAUCAUCAUCGUCGUUGCCAUCAUCAUCGUCGUCGUCGUCAUCAUUGUCAGGUGAAGGGCUAGGCCGGGGCGAGGGGCUGGGCUUGGGGGACGGCGAGGGUUUGGGCGAGGGGCUGGGCUGGGGAGAAGGUGAAGGCUUGGGCGAGGGGCUGCGGUCAUCAUCAUCGUCGUUGCCAUCAUCAUCGUCGUCGUCGUCAUCAUUGUCAGGUGAAGGGCUAGGCCGGGGCGAGGGGCUGGGCUUGGGGGACGGCGAGGGUUUUGGCGAGGGGCUGGGCUGGGGAGAAGGUGAAGGCUUGGGCGAGGGGCUGCGGUCAUCAUCAUCGUCGUCGCCAUCAUCAUCAUCAUCAUCAUCGUCAUCAUCAUCAUCGUUGUCAGGUGAAGGGCUAGGCCGGGGCGACGGGCUGGGCUUGGGGGACGGCGAAGGUUUGGGCGAGGGGCUGGGCUGGGGAGAAGGUGAAGGCUUGGGCGAGGGGCUGCGGUCAUCAUCAUCGUCGUCGCCAUCAUCAUCAUCAUCGUCAUCAUCAUCAUCGUUGUCAG
rnacentral:lncRNA from 1 species